UACGUAGGGCGCAAGCGUUGUCCGGAAUUAUUGGGCGUAAAGAGCUCGUAGGCGGCCUGUUGCGUCCGCUGUGAAAUCCCGGGGCUUAACCCCGGGCUUGCAGUGGAUACGGGCAGGCUGGAGGCAGGCAGGGGAGAACGGGAAUUCCCGGUGUAGCGGUGAAAUGCGCAGAUAUCGGGAGGAACACCGGUGGCGAAGGCGGUUCUCUAGUACGGUACCUGGACGCUGAGACGCGAAAGCGUGGGGAGCGAACAGG
rnacentral:rRNA from 1 species